rnacentral:tRNA from 1 species
AAAUAAGAAGCAAAUUAUGCGUUUAGUUUCGACCUAAAAAUUGAUAGUUUAUAUCCUUAUUUA